UCCAAGGCCUUUCUAGAGAUAAAAAUCCUCUGCCUCAAGGUUGGGUUCCCCUACAUAGAACAGGCACAAGGAGUCCCUGGAAUCUCCAAGGACAGACAUGUCAGUUUGUAUUCAGUUGUCAGCUAUCAGAGGUCUCUCCCUCCCCUACCCUGACUGAUCUUCCCUGUACUACAUCCUAGGGUGCUGCUUGCAUUCUCCCCUCAGUGGGUCAUUUCCACAGUGCCCAAGGCCUAAUUCAUUUUCCCUGACUCAUCUGUACCCCAGCUGUCCAGAGAAUCAUAAAAUGUUAGUGCUGGAAGGAACUUUGGAGAUUAUUUCAUCUUUCAUUUUAUAGAUGAAAAACCUGAGACCCAAGAGAGGAAGUGACUUAUAUAGGGUCACACAUGAUCAAGACUUCUGACUAUUUCUAGCAUAUACUACUCCUCUAUGUAAUGUACAUUUUAAAAAAACAAUUACACUUUUUUUUCAAAUUUAUUUCUUAAAUUUUGAGUCCCUACCCCAUCCACUGAAAAAAUAAGCAAUGUUAUAUCCACUAUAGAAUGUAUUUGAUGAGGUCCUGGUUAGUAGCCCAUUAGAGGGAUUAGACUCAAGGGAAGGGAGGCCAUCUCCAUAGUCAAAAUGCCUUAGCUAUCAAUUGAUUCCAAGAAGCCAGGGCUUGAGGAGGAAGGAGAGACAGUAGGGGAAAUUUGGACAGAGGCUCCUUUGAGGGGACCCUGGAUGGGGAAAGCAGAUGAUAGGGGGCUGAGAAAAGAUCCCGAGUUGGAGAUUUAGUUAUAUAAUAUUCUCUACCUCCUCCAGGCUAAAGAAAAAGGAGUGAUGGUGCUCUGGGAACUAAGUGGAACCAGCACGUCCAGGAAGGAGAGAAUGGGACAUGAGAAAUUUUGCCGGCAAACCUGCCAUAUCUCACUGGUCUGGGCACCUCUCCAGCCUCCCCAAAGGGCAGAGUCUAUCUGCUACUGCCCUGGGUUGGGGGCAAGAGCUGGAGGUUCCUGGGGCUAAGCACACUUGCCUGGGAGUUUUGGGCAAACCUAGUGGGGAGAGAUUACCUCAUGCUGUUGGAAAUCCAGGCCCCUGCUCUCACUCUAAAGCUGUGUUC
rnacentral:lncRNA from 1 species